AUUGAACGCUGGCGGCAGGCCUAACACAUGCAAGUCGAGCGAGCGGCGGACGGGUGAGUAAUGUAUGGGGAUCUGCCCGAUAGAGGGGGAUAACACUUGGAAAAGGUGCUAAUACCGCAUACUGAUGGAUGGACCCGCGGUGCAUUAGAUAGUUGGUGGGGUAAAGGCUCACCAGGGCAACGAUCCGUAGCUGGUUGGAGAGGCCGACCAGCCACACGUGGACUGAGACACGGCCCAGACUCCUACGGGAGGCAGCAGUGGGGAAUUUUGGACAAUGGGGGAAACCCUGAUCCAGCCAUCCCGCGUGUAUGAUGAAGGCCUUCGGGUUGUAAAGUACUUUUGGCAGAGAAGCGGUAUCUGCAGAAUAAGCACCGGCUAACUACGUGCCAGCAGCCGCGGUAAUUC
rnacentral:rRNA from 1 species